UGGGGAAUAUUGCACAAUGGGCGCAAGCCUGAUGCAGCCAUGCCGCGUGUGUGAAGAAGGCCUUCGGGUUGUAAGCACUUUCAGCGAGGAGGAAGGUGGUGAACUUAAUACGUUCAUCAAUUGACGUUACUCGCAGAAGAAGCACCGGCUAACUCCGUGCCAGCAGCCGCGGUAAUACGGAGGGUGCAAGCGUUAAUCGGAAUUACUGGGCGUAAAGCGCACGCAGGCGGUUUGUUAAGUCAGAUGUGAAAUCCCCGGGCUCAACCUGGGAACUGCAUUUGAAACUGGCAAGCUAGAGUCUCGUAGAGGGGGGUAGAAUUCCAGGUGUAGCGGUGAAAUGCGUAGAGAUCUGGAGGAAUACCGGUGGCGAAGGCGGCCCCCUGGA
rnacentral:rRNA from 1 species